ensembl:lncRNA
GGCAAUUAAUCUUAAGGUGCAACUUAAACUGAAGGACUUCAAUAAGCACUACAUGCUUGUAGCACUUAAGGCUGACACAGCACAAACUCAUGCGAAGCCCCUGGAUAUGACAGCCGAAGAAUCGAUGGCCGGCCAUCGGCAGCCCACGCGUGCCCCAACCUCCCCCCCCCCCCCCCCUUGGCUUGACCUUUGCCCUCCUCUAUUACUAGGAAUAGCCAAGGUCAAUGAUCAAGGUCACCUCCACUCACCCCUGUGCGACACCUUGGCUCCCGACAUUAUGCAGGCUUGGGACCGGGGCUCCGUCGGUGGAGGCAAUUUGUCACCUUCCGCCAAAUAACCUGCAAUUAUUUUAAGGCCGCGGAGGCGCCAUGCAUCACUGGGCACGAGCCUGCGAUCGGCCCGGGCGGAGGGACGAAGCGGGGCGGCGGUGUGUGUGUGUGAGGAACAGGGACAGCGGGUCCCUGGGUGGGGGUUUUUAGGGGACACUAUGUGGGUGACCCCUGUACGCUGCCCUGGACGCUUAAGAUUUAACGGGAGUGAAAUAUAGAUUCAUCGGUCAUGGGAGUGGAAGGGCGUAUAAAUAGAUCAAAACCCCACAGUGGUGUUGCAUUUCUUUUUUUUAUGUUUUUUUUUUUAAAUGGGGACCUUAGCACUGAGCGAGUGGAUGGAGAGGAGAAGAGUUGGGUUGUGGUGCGGGGGAAGGUGUGUGUGUAGGUGUAGGUAGGUCACAUAAGCUUUGGGAGAAUGUGAGACAUAUGGUGUGCUGUUUUUCCCUCUUCUCUUUUCCUCUCCCCUGAGAACUUAUCAUACAUUACAGAAACACCUUUCCUGGAACACAAUAGUUACAGUUAUGUCACGCAUAUCACAUUUACAUUUAGUCAUUUAGCAGACACUUUUAUCCAAAGCCAUGCACAAGGGAGAGAACAAUCAAGCUACGAGCAAUAGAGACCUAGUGUAACAGUAAAUACUAUUUUACAUAAGAAAUAGAAAAAAGUGCAGGAAUGUAACUUCUGUUGUUGCAAGUUAAGUACUAGUAGAAGUGCAAGUUAGGAAGGGAAGUGCUCUCUGAAGAGUUGGGUCUUCAAG